ACAUGUCAUAUUUACUAAGUACAGUUCAAGAGUAUUUUAUUGCUCAAAUUAUUACAAAACAACAUCAAAAGUAUCAACUGUCUUUGUCUCUAAUAGCUCAUGAACUGUACAUCUUUCAUACAUUUGAACUAAACGCAAUAAAAGUAAUAUUAAAUGUUGCCAGGGCCAAGCUCCCGAUUGUACUUUUAAUAUCUUACAAUCUGUGACACAAGACUAUGUAUUUGUUUGAAUAUUUUCCUAAUAUCCCUGCAGAUAAAAUUCUAAAUACACAUUGCGGAAUGUAAAUGGGGCAAUACAAAAAUGAUCUCCGUAUUAUUAUUUAUAAUUUUUGUCAGCAUUUUCGUUAUAAUGUCUUUAUGUGUUGCAGUUACAGCGUAUUUGUUUUCGAAGGUCGUUAGUCGUCGAUUUUAGCUGAAGCCGCAUCAGUCUUCUGCAAAGCGAUGAUGGUUUGACGCAAGGCCUACAACACUUGGUUAAUAGGAUAUCGGUGACCCAGCUCAUGUCAGUUGUGAGGGCUUCCAACGUCCGAGAAUCAGGUGAAAUCGCUUAAACCUCAACUAAAUGAAGGUAAAAACCAUCGCAAAAUUUGUAGUUUUCCAAUUUAUAAGAAUUUAUUACUGUGCGCCGUACAAAGGGUUUAUUUAGACGAGUGGAUCAUAUGGUCCCGAAAGGGGGAUCAUAUUAGUAAGCGGUUAUUUUUAAAUGAGGUUCAGCGGUACGUUAUAGUUAAUUUUUUAAGGCCUUUAGUUGUGUACAUAGGUAGGAAUAAACAAUAUAUUGAUUGAAAUUAA